AUUGAACGCUGGCGGCAGGCCUAACACAUGCAAGUCGAGCGGCUGAUGUGAGCUUGCUCCUGGUUUUAGCGGCGGACGGGUGAGUCAUGCCCAGGAAUCUGCCUGGUAGGGGGGAAUAACGUCCCUAAAAGGGCGCUAAUACCGCAUACCAUCUGGCGGCGAAAGUGUGGGGCCUUCGGACCUAGCGCCUUCACAUGAGCCAUGGCCGGAUUAGCCAGUUGGUGGGUUAAAGGCCUACCAAGGCGACGAUCCGUAACUGGUCUGAGAGGAUGAUCAGUCACACUGGAAGGGGGACACGGCCCAGACUCCAGCGGGAGGGAACAGUGGGGAAUAUUGGACAGUGCUCUAAAGCCUGAUCCAGCCCUGCCGCGUGUGUCUAGAAGCGCUCCGGCUGGUAAAGCACUUUAAGUUGGGAGGAAGCGCAGUAAGUUUGUACCUUGCUGUUUUGACGUUACCAACAGAAUAAGCUCCGGCUAACUUCGUG
rnacentral:rRNA from 1 species